GGAUGUAAAGGUGACCUGGCUGUGACAUCUGUGAGACCACUGAUUGCCAAGGUUGACUCCACUGAUCUGACUGGCUAGGUGGCAUCCCCUUCUUCCAUCACUGCUCCAUGUAUAACCUUCUUGAUGCUGUGGUAUUGUUGUA
rnacentral:snRNA from 1 species